CGGGACACGUGGUAUCCUGUCUGAAUAUGGGGGGACCAUCCUCCAAGGCUAAAUACUCCUGACUGACCGAUAGUGAACCAGUACCGUGAGGGAAAGGCGAAAAGAACCCCGGCGAGGGGAGUGAAAAAGAACCUGAAACCGUGUACGUACAAGCAGUGGGAGCACGCUUAGGCGUGUGACUGCGUACCUUUUGUAUAAUGGGUCAGCGACUUAUAUUCUGUAGCAAGGUUAACCGAAUAGGGGAGCCGAAGGGAAACCGAGUCUUAACUGGGCGUUAAGUUGCAGGGUAUAGACCCGAAACCCGGUGAUCUAGCCAUGGGCAGGUUGAAGGUUGGGUAACACUAACUGGAGGACCGAACCGACUAAUGUUGAAAAAUUAGCGGAUGACUUGUGGCUGGGGGUGAAAGGCCAAUCAAACCGGGAGAUAGCUGGUUCUCCCCGAAAGCUAUUUAGGUAGCGCCUCGUGAAUUCAUCUCCGGGGGUAGAGCACUGUUUCGGCAAGGGGGUCAUCCCGACUUACCAACCCGAUGCAAACUGCGAAUACCGGAGAAUGUUAUCACGGGAGACACACGGCGGGUGCUAACGUCCGUCGUGAAGAGGGAAACAACCCAGACCGCCAGCUAAGGUCCCAAAGUCAUGGUUAAGUGGGAAACGAUGUGGGAAGGCCCAGACAGCCAGGAUGUUGGCUUAGAAGCAGCCAUCAUUUAAAGAAAGCGUAAUAGCUCACUGGUCGAGUCGGCCUGCGCGGAAGAUGUAACGGGGCUAAACCAUGCACCGAAGCUGCGGCAGCGACGCUGAUGCGUUGUUGGGUAGGGGAGCGUUCUGUAAGCCUGUGAAGGUGUGCUGUGAGGCAUGCUGGAGGUAUCAGAAGUGCGAAUGCUGACAUAAGUAACGAUAAAGCGGGUGAAAAGCCCGCUCGCCGGAAGACCAAGGGUUCCUGUCCAACGUUAAUCGGGGCAGGGUGAGUCGACCCCUAAGGCGAGGCCGAAAGGCGUAGUCGAUGGGAAACAGGUUAAUAUUCCUGUACUUGGUGUUACUGCGAAGGGGGGACGGAGAAGGCUAUGUUGGCCGGGCGACGGUUGUCCCGGUUUAAGCGUGUAGGCUGGUUUUCCAGGCAAAUCCGGAAAAUCAAGGCUGAGGCGUGAUGACGAGGCACUACGGUGCUGAAGCAACAAAUGCCCUGCUUCCAGGAAAAGCCUCUAAGCAUCAGGUAACAUCAAAUCGUACCCCAAACCGACACAGGUGGUCAGGUAGAGAAUACCAAGGCGCUUGAGAGAACUCGGGUGAAGGAACUAGGCAAAAUGGUGCCGUAACUUCGGGAGAAGGCACGCUGAUAUGUAGGUGAAGCGACUUGCUCGUGGAGCUGAAAUCAGUCGAAGAUACCAGCUGGCUGCAACUGUUUAUUAAAAACACAGCACUGUGCAAACACGAAAGUGGACGUAUACGGUGUGACGCCUGCCCGGUGCCGGAAGGUUAAUUGAUGGGGUCAGCGCAAGCGAAGCUCUUGAUCGAAGCCCCGGUAAACGGCGGCCGUAACUAUAACGGUCCUAAGGUAGCGAAAUUCCUUGUCGGGUAAGUUCCGACCUGCACGAAUGGCGUAAUGAUGGCCAGGCUGUCUCCACCCGAGACUCAGUGAAAUUGAACUCGCUGUGAAGAUGCAGUGUACCCGCGGCAAGACGGAAAGACCCCGUGAACCUUUACUAUAGCUUGACACUGAACAUUGAGCCUUGAUGUGUAGGAUAGGUGGGAGGCUUUGAAGUGUGGACGCCAGUCUGCAUGGAGCCGGCCUUGAAAUACCACCCUUUAAUGUUUGAUGU
rnacentral:rRNA from 1 species